UCUGUAUCUGUCGGUAUGCUGCUUUUGCCGGGGAUAGAACAGGAUGGAGUCUUAGAACUUUUAUGUCCCUAUGGGUGCAUCCUGGUAGGUGACUCCCGAGCAGUGCCCACCACUGGAGGCUGGGGCUUCAGAGUCAAGUCUGUUAUAGAUGAUCGUACCAACUCUGAAUCUGCAUCUGCAGCCAAGUCCCUGAGGAUGGCAUAACGGUCUGCAAAGGUAGGUACAAGUAGCUCCUUUCCUACUGUGUAACAACACCUCCUGUACCACAUCAAAGCAUAAUGUCUUUAUGUGUUGGAAACAUGAAGGAGCCAGAUAUUUGAGUUGCAGAAUUUGCAGGCUGGAAUGGAGAGUGCACCCCUCAUUCUGUGAUAGCAGGUACUGAGUGAUUGGGAGAGUUAUCGCUGGACAGUGUUAGCUGUGACAGGACUUAAAGAAUUAGAGGGAAUGGGGGAAAGAAGUGUAAAGACGACCCUUGUCCCAUGGAGGAGGAGUGUCCCCCAUGGAGUAUCGUCCAAUCCCUGGUCUGGAGCAGCAGUACCGAGGACAUUUCUUGUUCUGAUAAGUAGCAAACAGGUCUACUGUCAGUGUCCCCCAUUGCUGGAAUGUCAUGUAGGACAAAUCACAUUUAUAUCCCAUUCAUGGUCGAAUGGUAACUUGGGGUUGAGGUUGUCCACUAUCGUGUUGCAUACUCCUGGCAGCGUGGAGAGGCUGAGGAACCUGUGAUGUUGAAACAGCACCUUCGCCUGGAUGGAGCGGAGGCAGGAGUAUAGACUUUGAGGGAUUGAAGUUUCCCUACAGCCCUUCAACGUGUGAAAGAAUGUGUCAGUCUUCUCAGCAAAUAACUUCGUCCCUUCAAAAGGAAGGUCUUCCACUGUAAUUUGGACCUCUUUAGGGAAGCUGGAUAAAUGAAGCCCUUCUCAGCUCUGCGGCCAUGGAAAUCAAGCAUGCCACCAGUUGUCCCUUGUUGACUAUGGCCUUGAAUUGAUCCUUGUGAGAAUCAGGCAUUUGCUCAAUAAAGGUGCCAUAGGUACUGAUAGAGCCGGAGAACAUUUUGGCUCCAUUAGGGCUCAGUGCAGGGACUCACAGAUCUUUUAUUAGAGGCCUUGUGUGAGUGGUUUAUCUUUCUGGCUCACCUUCCUUCGAAGUAGAGGGUUGUGGUGAGAGUUCCUGCUGGGACUCCGGCAGUUGAAGGCCUGACUCUGUGUGUAGGAUUUUGAGUCCCAGUGCUCUGUCUUUCCUAGAUCUGGGCUUCAGUUGCUGAUGCAAGCCACACUUCUAUGGAAUGUACUCUCCCAGGCAGCAAACACACUGCGAGUGUCCAUCAGUCAAUGGGAUAGAUUCCUUGCAACUGAGACACUUUUUGAAGCGGAGCAUACCCUUGUCCAGGGGGGGGGUCACCCACAACAGGGUUGGUGGAAAACAAGCCCUUUCUUUUUCCCAGGCACAACCAAAUAAAAAUACAAAUGAA